rnacentral:rRNA from 1 species
CCUACGGGAGGCAGCAGUGGGGAAUAUUGCACAAUGGGGGAAACCCUGAUGCAGCGACGCCGCGUGAGUGAAGAAGUAAUUCGGUAUGUAAAGCUCUAUCAGCAGGGAAGAAAAUGACGGUACCUGAGUAAGAAGCCCCGGCUAACUACGUGCCAGCAGCCGCGGUAAUACGUAGGGGGCCAGCGUUAUCCGGAUUUACUGGGUGUAAAGGGGGCGUAGACGGCAGUGCAAGGCUGGAGGGAAAGGCGGGGGCUCAACCCGCGGACGGCUGUGGAAACUGUACGGCUGGAGUGCAGGAGAGGUAAGUGGAAUUCGUAGUGUAGCGGUGAAAUGCGUAGAUAUUAGGAGGAACACC